UCAGAACCGAGCAGAAAAACCGAACAUUUCAGUCACUGUGCAGCAGAAUAAACACGUUAUUACAUCGCAAAUGUUAUUCUUACACAUUUUUACCUCGGCAGCAGCCUGAUUAGAUGAAUGAAUCAGUUCCGAGUAGAAAGAGGGAGAGUCAGGUCAAGUUCAGCAGGGAGGAAAGUGCAGCUCAGGUGUCAAGGUGAGCGUGUGAGCACAGAUCAAGGUGUGAGCACUCGAGAAAUGUGAACUCUCGUCAUCACGAGACGAUAACAAUAGUUGCUCGACCUGUGUUGCGCUGACUCAAACCUUCAGCUGACACAAUCGGCCCAGCUGCUCCUGUAUAAAUCUGCAGGAGAAUAUGAUUUAUUUAUGUGACGAACUGCACUGCCGCAAGUCUGCUUUCAAAAAUGCAAUACAGAAAUAGUCUCAUUUUCACACACUGUCUAAAAUAAUUCCUCAUGCCAUGCCAACGCACCUUUUAAUUAAGAUUUAGCCUGAAAUGUGAGCUGCAUGUUGACUGCAUGUAUCCCACAGCCAUGACGUACGACAUGAUUUGGGGUCUAUAUUCAGUGUGUUGUAAAUGAGGCAGUUAAUUUUCGGUUCUUCGUGAUUUUUUGCACCUUCCUUUGGCACCUCGUGCUUGUGAAUUCUUCCUCCACAACACAUUUACACUCAUCACUACCUCACUCCUCAUUCCCUCCUUCUCUCCUCUUCUCAUCUUUCUUUUUGCCCCCUGUCUAUAAUUGGAUUCUAUUUUCAGGCUGCUAUAAGUGUCUGUGUCUCUUGUGUUUGUGUCUCGCACCCCAUUUUCUGUCUCUCCUCCAUCAUCACCCUCUUAUCGUUCCCAUCGCUCUCUCCAUCUUUCUGUCACUGCGUAAAGCCACUCCUCUUAUUCUCCUUUUCUUCUGCUUUGCCCAUAAACUGUUUCAUUUCUGCAAAACCUACCAUUUACCUUUUUUCCCCCUUUUAUUUGUGACAGUUAAAUAUGAGGGAUAGCACUCUAAAAGCCUUAUGCAAAAUUGCGUUAGGUGAAGUAAUGCAGAGCAGAGCAUCUAACUGCACCUAACUGACUGAAUAGCUUUCUCAUGACCUAAUUCUGGUAGUCUGGGUUACACAGCAAUCUGAGAGAGAGGAGGAUAUAUUUAGUGAGUAGAAAAAAACAUAAAAAAGAUGAUACAAGAAACUGUACUGCGUACAACUGUAAUGUGUCGCACACCUUCAUGUUGAUGGGACUGCUGAAACAUUUUUAAGAAAGGCAAUGAGCCAAUUAAACAGCAUUUAUAAAGGGGAGGAGUGGAAAAUGAGAGGCUGACAGAGGGAGGGAGUCAUACUGUAGGACUUGGUUGGCUGUUAGGAUGUCUCUAGAGGUGCAGCAUGUAUUUAAAAGACGAAAAAGACUUAGAGAGAAAGGAAGAGUGGCUAUCAGAGAUGGAAAAAGUUGACUGACGAGUAGAGGAAAUGGGGAUCUCUCAUCAGACCAAAACACCCUCAUCAAGAAGGCCUGGAAGCUGCAAAACCAUGACCCACACGCCUCGACGCGGUCACGUGGCACAGAAUCGCACCACGCCCGUGCGGACAGUGCACAUCCGACCACUGCCCUCGCGAAACACACCCUCACGCAAACAGCAUGCUCAGACCGCGCAGACACGUAGGGUGCAUACACAUCUGACGCAGACGCACAGGGCGAGCUCACAGUCUGCACACUGCCCGACGCAGCCCUAUAAGCAGUACACAGCACACAGCGAUCACUCAGGCUGCACCUUCUACUGCUAUUUCUGCUACUGCUGUUACUGCUGCUGCCUCACGUUGCUCUCUUUCUCUCUCCUCCUCCUCCUGUCUCCACCUCCCAACGCUCCUCCUUCCGCCUCCUUCUCCACUUUGUCCUCAAAUACCACUCUUCCUCCAUCCUCCUCCUCUCCCUCACGAUCAUCAACUUCCUGUUUGGAUGAACUUUCCUGUAUCCAUCCUGACGUCAACCUGUCUUCUUCUGCUGUGUCUCCCUACUGUCCUGUGCCACCUUGUCUCAUCUCUGAUGAUUCUUUCCCACUCUUCUACUUCUCAUCUCCUGACCUCAUCACUUCUGACCAACUCACCUCCUCUUGCCACGGCUCCUCUCCUACAUCUACUUCUUCUUCUUCCUCUUCCGUGCCCUCUGACUCCUUCCUCCCUCCUCAUCAUCCUGUACUCUGCCGGCCGUGGCCUUUUUCGCGCUCUCUUUCCUCCCUGCUCCUCUGCCCUCCCAGCUUUGGGGAUCCAGUCUUAUCCUAUGCAUCCACUUUGGAGCACAUCCCCUCUGGUCCGGCCCGGCCUCGGACGCUGCUGCGCCAGCAGAGUCUUCAGCAGCCUCUCAUCCACCCAUCAGGGCCUGGUCUCGGCCAUCCCCCCACCACAUCCCAGAGUUUGGGACAAUUACACACUGCACCUGGACAGCCUGGGGGAGGUGGGGGUGCUGGGAGAGGAGAGGGAGGUGGCAGCAGUGGUGAGGGUGGGGGUGCAGGUACACGAGGCGGUCUCCGGGGUGCACGGGGCAGCCCAGCAGGAGCAGGUGCCUCUCGCUAUAGGGGAGGUGGAGCAGGAGGGCGUUCACGUGCCAAUCCUGGCAGCUGGGAUUACAUGAUGGACCAGAUCCGGAAUCGUGGCCUGGACGUCAAGUCCUUCCUUGAAGGGAAGAUGGUGGUCCUGGCUUUGGCCAUUGGUGUGGCCGAGCAAGAUGACUUUGCCAAUAUCCCUGACCUGCAGGAAACAGCUCAGGCAGCACCACCAGCCAAUCAGGAGCCCCCUCCUGAGAAGAGGGGCAACAAGCCAGCUAACAGCCCCAAGGGCCAACCCCCUGAUGCUGACGGCCACUCCUCCGUAACUGACCUGGCCAACUCUCUCACUGGAGACAUGGUGAUGUUGUCUCCAGGUUCGGAGGAUGACGACGGUGAAGGGCCUAUCAGUGAGAAGCUUGGCCGAAUCCAGUUCAGCAUAGGCUACAGCUUCCAGAACACGACCCUCACCGUCAAAGUUCUCAGGGGCCAGGAGCUCCCGGCCAAGGACUUCUCCGGCACCUCCGACCCCUUCGUCAAAAUCUACCUGCUGCCCGACAAGAAGCACAAGCUGGAGACCAAGGUCAAGAGGAAGAACCUCAACCCCCACUGGAAUGAAACCUUCCUGUUUGAGGGCUUUCCUUAUGAGAAGGUGAGAGAGCGCACUCUAUACCUUCAGGUGUUGGACUACGACCGCUUCAGCAGGAAUGACCCCAUUGGAGAGGUGUCAAUCCCCCUUAACAAGGUGGAACUGGGCCAGAUAAAGACCUUCUGGAAGGAGCUCAAGCCCUGCAGUGAUGGCAGUGGGAGACGAGGAGACCUGCUGGUGUCUCUCUGCUAUAAUCCCACUGCCAACACCAUCACUGUGAACAUCAUCAAAGCACGCAAUCUCAAAGCCAUGGAUAUUGGGGGCACCUCAGAUCCAUAUGUGAAGGUGUGGCUGAUGCACAAGGACAAGCGUGUAGAGAAGAAGAAGACAGUGACGAUGAAGCGCUGUCUGAACCCCAUCUUCAACGAGUCCUUCCCCUUCGACGUGCCCGCCCAUGUGCUGAGGGAGACCACCAUCAUCAUCACCGUCAUGGACAAGGACAGGCUCAGCCGCAAUGAUGUUAUCGGGAAGAUCUACCUAUCGUGGAAGAGUGGACCAGCGGAGGUGAAGCACUGGAAAGACAUGCUCGCUCGGCCGCGUACUAACGUCGCCCAGUGGCACGCUCUCAAGGCCUGAUCGCACCGCCCAGCUUCCUCCAUGGCCCCUUCCCGUCUCCUAUUCCCCCUCCUACCUCCCCUCUUCCCACUCCCGUCCUUAUGCACAAGACUGACUUGCUGCCAGGCUGCGAAACACGGACACAGAAUCGUGUUAUUGAACCGACAGAGAAACCCAGAGCAGCAGAGUUGGGCAUGAAACACAGACGAGCCCUGAGCCAGCCGAGCUCCUGCAGACAGGGGCCGAGGUUUCGUCCCUCCCAGAACUACAACAGACGGCUGCAGGCAAGCCAAGUGCAUCAACUCGACGGGAGACCCUUGGUUGCAUCACCUCCAUCUAUUUUUAGAACCACUGCACCCACCUUUUUUGUUUCAUCUUUUAAGCUCCCUCUAUAUUCUAAGUGUUAUCUCAAGUGCAAACUGUUGCAGAAGGUGCAGCAUUUUGUUAUUUUUUUCACAACAUUAUUGUGAAUUUGAUCAAGAAUCUCAUCUAUAACAGCCUGGCUACAGCACAGUCAUGUUUGAAUCAUUGAGUCAUGUGUGAAUUAUGCAGAUGCAGAACAAACACAGAUUGCUGUAUUGCAGAGAUGAACAAUCACAUCGAGGGCUGAGAGUCUGCAGGUUUUCAUUUCAAACAGAGUACAGCAGGUGCUUCUGCUGAUCAGUUCCUUCUCUCCGACUCUAUGGCUGAAGUUGUUCUAAUAAGUGAAAUCAUCUGGUGUAAUCUUUGACUGGAAUGAAAAUAGGCGUGUGGUCUGUUCCUGCUGUAUGGAUCCCUGUGAAUUUAUAAUUAGAAAUGCCAAUAAUGUGCACAUUGUAUUUAAGAGAAAAGAAGCAGGAAAUGAGACUGUCAGUUUCAAUGAUGCAGGCGUUUCCCUGUAGUUAUUUUUUGGAGAAGAUAAUGAACAGUUCCAGGCUUGGCACGACAGCAUGUCAAGCAAGACUGUGGAACGGCAACACAAGCAACAGCUUGGUAAAGAUAGGCUCCGCCGACUGCCAGCGUUGGACAGAUGGAGGGAAGAAAGGGAGCAAGAAGUGAUGUGACAGAGGUGAAGAUGCAGUGUGAGUCCAAGGGAAUGAGAAGAAAAGAGAGGGGAUAGGAAGUGAGAAUUAAAGGAACUAUUGCGCAUUGUCAGGUUUUGUGAUACAAAGGGUGAGCAUGUUGUCAUGGAAAAACUCCAGUUAGAUGUAAUACUGUAAUUCAGUCCCACCUAAUAAUAAAAUUGUGAAGAAAAUCACA